UACGUAGGGGGCAAGCGUUGUCCGGAAUCAUUGGGCGUAAAGCGCGUGUAGGCGGCUCGGUAAGUCUGCUGUGAAAGUCCAGGGCUCAACCCUGGGAUGCCGGUGGAUACUGUCGAGCUCGAGUCCGGAAGAGGCGAGUGGAAUUCCUGGUGUAGCGGUGAAAUGCGCAGAUAUCAGGAGGAACACCAAUGGCGAAGGCAGCUCGCUGGAACGGUACUGACGCUGAGGCGCGAAAGCGUGGGGAGCAAACAGG
rnacentral:rRNA from 1 species